GACGAACGCUGGCGGCGUGCUUAACACAUGCAAGUCGAACGGAAAGGCCCUGCUUGCAGGGUGCUCGAGUGGCGAACGGGUGAGUAACACGUGGGUGAUCUGCCCCUUAUUUUGGGAUAAGCCUGGGAAACUGGGUCUAAUACUGGAUAGGACCAUGCUGUAGGUGGUGUGGUGGAAAGAUUAGUUUCGGUAAGGGAUGAGCUCGCGGCCUAUCAGCUUGUUGGUGGGGUAAUGGCCUACCAAGGCGUCGACGGGUAGCCGGCCUGAGAGGGUGGACGGCCACAUUGGGACUGAGAUACGGCCCAGACGACUACGGGAGGCAGCAGUGGGGAAUAGUGCACAAUGGGCGCAAGCCGGAUGCAGCGACGCCGCGUGGGGGAUGACGGCCUUCGGGUUGUAAACUCCUUUCAGCCAUGACGAAGCCCUUGUGGUGACGGUAGUGGUAGAAGAAGCACCGGCUAACUACGUG
rnacentral:rRNA from 1 species